rnacentral:pre_miRNA from 1 species
GACGUACUCCCUCCGUUCUGAAUUACUUGUCACAGGUAUGGAUGUAUCUAGAUGUAUUUUAGUUUUAGAUACAUCCAUUUCUGUGACAAGUAAUUUGAAACGGAGAGAGUACUUU